CGUGUAGGCGGCCAGGUAGGUCUGGUGUGAAAACUCGAGGCUCAACCUCGAGAGGUCAUCGGAAACCAUCUGGCUAGAGUCCGGAAGAGGAGAGUGGAAUUCUCGGUGUAGCGGUGAAAUGCGCAGAUAUCGGGAAGAACACCUAUGGCGAAGGCAGCUCUCUGGGACGGUACUGACGCUGAGACGCGAAAGCGUGGGGAGCGAACA
rnacentral:rRNA from 1 species